rnacentral:misc_RNA from 1 species
UCAAACUUGGUCAUUUAGAGGAAGUAAAAGUCGUAACAAGGUUUCCGUAGGUGAACCUGCGGAAGGAUCAUUAGCGAGGACUUGAAAAAAGGGGCUGUAGCUGGCCCACGAUUGUGGGCAAAGUGCACGCCUGUUAUCCACACAAUUUCACACAUGUGCACGACUGUAGCGGCACCCCCGCUACGAUUGCAGUUACGAUAAAAUGUAUAGAAAAAAAAAAAAAGACUUUUGGUGAUCAGACAAAGGAUGUCAUAACAACUUUCAGCAACGGAUCUCUUGGCUCUCGCAUCGAUGAAGAACGCAGC